UUCCGGUUGAUCCUGCCGGAGGCCACUGCUAUCGGGGUCCGACUAAGCCAUGCGAGUCAAGGGGGUGUCCCUCUGGGACACCACCGGCGGACGGCUCAGUAACACGUCGGUAACCUACCCUCGGGAGGGGGAUAACCCCGGGAAACUGGGGCUAAUCCCCCAUAGGCCUGAGGUACUGGAAGGUCCUCAGGCCGAAAGGGGCUUUUGCCCGCCCGAGGAUGGGCCGGCGGCCGAUUAGGUAGUUGGUGGGGUAAUGGCCCUCCGAGCCGAAAAUCGAAACCGGCUGUGACCGCUAGAACCCGGAAUGGACACUGAGACACGGGUCCAGGCCCUACGGGGCGCAGCAGGCGCGAACCUCCGCUAUGCGUGAAACCGCGACGGGGAGACCCCGAGUGCCCCGGCACCGCCACGGCUUUUCCGGAGUGUAAAAAGCUCCGGGAAUAAGGGCUGGGCAAGCCGGUGGCAGCCGCCGCGGUAAUACCGGCGGCCCGAGUGGUGCCCUAUUAUUGGGCCUAAAGCGUCCGUAGCCGGGCCGUAAGUCCCUGGCGAAAUCCCACGGCUCAACCGUGGGGCUUGCUGGGAUACUGCGGCUUGGGACCGGAAGGCGGGGUACCCCUGGGUAGGGUGAAAUCCUAUAUCCCAGGGGGACCGCCAGUGGCGAAGGCGCCCCGCUGGAACGGGCCCGACGGUGAAAAUAAAGGGCCGGAGGAACAACCCGGAUAAAAUACCCGGGAAAUAAUGGCGGUAAAGGAUUCAGACUAAGUGUCAGAUAAGCUUAGAUCUCAACAGGAGCGGUAGGGAAACCGAUAAGCCCACUGCUUGGGGAGUACGGCAGCAAGACUGAAACUUAAAGGAAUAGACGGGGGAGCACAACAAAGGGUGGAGCGAGCGAUUUAAUAGGAUUCAACACCAGGAACCUCACCGGGGGCGACGACAGGAUGAGGGCCAGGCUGAAGGUCUUGCCGGACACGCCGAGAAGAGGUGCAUGGCAGCCGUCAGCUCGUACCGUGAGGCGUCCACUUAAGUGUGGUAACGAGCGAGACCCGAGCCCCCAGUUGCCAGCCCUUCCCGUUGGGAAGGGGGCACUCUGGGGGGACUGCCGGCGAUAAGCCGGAGGAAGGAGCGGGCGACGGUAGGUCAGUAUGCCCCGAAACCCCCGGGCUACACGCGCGCUACAAUGGGCGGGACAAUGGGAUCCGACCCCGAAAGGGGAAGGGAAUCCCCUGAACCCGCCCCCAGUUCGGAUCGCGGGCUGCAACUCGCCCGCGUGAAGCUGGAGUCCCUAGUACCCGCGUGUCAUCAUCGCGCGGCGAAUACGUCCCUGCUCCUUGCACACACCGCCCGUCACUCCACCCGAGCGGGGUCUGGAUGAGGCUCCGUCCUCUGGGCGGGGUCGAGUCCAGGCUCCGUGAGGGGGGAGAAGUCGUAACAAGGUAACCGU
rnacentral:rRNA from 1 species